AGGCAGAUUGAUUAACAGGAGAAAAUGCA
rnacentral:piRNA from 1 species